rnacentral:rRNA from 1 species
CAGUCGCCGCGGUAAUACGUAGGGUGCGAGCGUUAAUCGGAAUUACUGGGCGUAAAGCGUGCGCAGGCGGUUUUGUAAGACAGGCGUGAAAUCCCCAGGCUCAACCUGGGAAUGGCGCUUGUGACUGCAAAGCUAGAGUGCGGCAGAGGGGGAUGGAAUUCCGCGUGUAGCAGUGAAAUGCGUAGAUAUGCGGAGGAACACCGAUGGCGAAGGCAAUCCCCUGGGCCUGCACUGACGCUCAUGCACGAAAGCGUGGGGAGCAAACAGGAUUAGAUACCCCCGUAGUCCCUGUCUCUUAUAC